rnacentral:rRNA from 1 species
UACGUAGGGGGCAAGCGUUGUCCGGAUUUACUGGGCGUAAAGAGCGUGUAGGCGGCCACGCAGGUCCGUUGUGAAAACUGGAGGCUCAACCUCCAGCUGUCGACGGAAACCGUAUGGCUAGAGUCCGGAAGAGGAGAGUGGAAUUCCUGGUGUAGCGGUGAAAUGCGCAGAUAUCAGGAAGAACACCAAUGGCGAAGGCAGCUCUCUGGGAACGGUACUGACGGCUGAGACGCGAAAGCGUGGGGAGCGAACAGG